GUGGAGGAUCUCAAAAUAGGUGGGAAGUAGGCCCCACCCUGCCACCCCCAUUAUAGAAGCUAAGAGUGGGGCAGCUACCUCUCCUGCCUCGCUGGCUGCCUGGGUGUGGAGACCAAACCAGACCUCUGAGCCCAGAGCCCAUGGUCCUUGCAGACAGACAGAGUCACAGUUCUAAGCUAUGGCAGCCACAGAGUUAGAACUCAGUGGCGGUACCAUAAACAUCUUUCUUGUGGUGCCUGCACCUCUUGCGAUAUCCUACUGCAGGAGUGACUGACUGUGCUCAGCCACCCACCUGCCCCAGCUUCUCCUGGUCUGUGAGUCUGGGUCUCCAGCUUUCUCCUUCAUUUCUACCAGCUACCUGAGAGCUUCCAAAUAACUCCUUUUCUGCUGAGUUCGCUUACCUGAGCCAACAAAACCAGAGGUUUAGGUUGUAUGAAAAAUACCCAAUUCUAGAGUAAGCUGCUGGCUCUUCUGACACUGGACCAGAGGCCCCCAAAGCUCCUUCUGUUCACUCUUUCAUUUUCAUGAUCUGUGGGACCCCAAGGGUCUGAGUGAGCAGAGGUGGCUCCCCGGCCCCAGCUGACAGCUGUUUAAAAAUAUUCUCAAUGUCAAAAAUGGCCUGGAUGAACAAACAACCCCAAAUAGUCCAUUUCAAAAGUUCAGAAGCAAUUUGAUGGCAACACCGAGAGAGAACAAGAGAGAGACAGAAACAGAUGAACAGAAGCAGAGAGGGAGAAUAUAUUCAUCCCUGCGGCAGCAGAUCAUCAAAACCCUCCCAGAUUACGGAAAACAAGGGGACUCCGGCUGCUCUGUGAAGGGAAUCUCCUUCUCUGCGGUUCCCUGGGAGCACCAAGACAGCACUCCUCCUGCUACACAAAAUAACAACACUACCGGCCAGCCCUUUCUAAGCCCUGCACGUCCCUGGGUCUGUACUGGGUGCUUGCCGGUCACUAUCUUGCUUCAUCCUUAAAGAAACCUGUGGGGCAGUACUAGGAUCACCUCACUUUGCAGGUGUGGAAACAACUGGGGGUGGUCAGAUAAUCUGCCCAGGUUCCAAUACUAUCCAAGGACAAGACCAGGAUUCAGCCCUGGGUCUCUGAAUGUCCCAACCACCUGGCUGGGCUAACUGGUCCUAUAUCAGAAGCAGAGUUUGCUCCCCAAGAAAGCUUUUCCCUCAGUCCUCAACUCAAAGUACAGAGCCCCUGUGACUUUGCUCUCAUUUCAGACUUAUUUAAAAAAGAAAAAUCCUCUUCUGAACUGCCCAGGAAGCUGCAUUUUCCCCUCUCCUCUCCCAGUGCAAAGCGACAUUUGUGUGCGUACCUAGGAGCUGCCAACCCAAGCCAAACCCCUUCAUUACAAGGGAAGGGAAGCCACGUGUGCUAACCCUGGCUUGCAGCACAUCGUCGUAUUUUCCUCCCCUGGCUGCAAAAA